UCAUUUCACAUAUAUUACAUUCAGUAAUACAAGCCUUUCUGUCUAUGAAACACAAUUUGUACACUGUUUUACAAACCGAUUUCAGUUUUACAAGAAUUAAAGCUGUUUUGAUUAUACAUUUUUACAGUAUUGGUGGCAAGACAGCAAAAAUAGACGUGUUAACCACUAGCUUAGUACUAGAAAAUAAUACUCAAAAAUUCAUGUUGCUACUGCAAAUAAAAAGAAAACUGAGCCAGAUCCUGCAUUCCUCUGACAUGAGGUACUCAGCCCUACAAAACUGCUGAAAGGACUUCGAACACCAACUUGCUUUAACUGAGUGAAGGGAUUUCAGCAAUGUGCAGGAGGGUACCUACUUACUGAUUUGCAAGCUGGAGUCUAAAGUUUCCAUCCGAGUCUCCCCAGAUCAGUCAUAAAGAAGACAAGUAGUUUGGAUGUUGGUGUAAAGGGACAGCAUAUACAACUUGUCUGCCAGAAUCAUCCAGGAUAAGCAAGGUGACAGACUGGAGAAUCUAUUUUCCUAUUAUGUUUCCUAUCAUUCUAAAACUUAGCUGUGUUUGUCAUUAAGUACUUCCACUUCUCCUAAUUUUACUUAAACAUUUCCAAAUGGAAAAAGAGCAUUUAAAUUCCCUUUAAAAAGGUUUCAAAAGGCGCCUUCUGAAGUUGUGCUCAUGAAAGCAGUAAUUUGGUAGUUUUGACUGCCGCCUAUCAGAAACAAAGUAAAACCACAGCAUCUACAGACUUGCUCUCUAACUUGCCACACACUGCAUCUGUUGUAAACUCUAUUUGAUAGAUUCUUUGCAUUUGAUUUCUGUCUUAAUUCCCCAGAUAGAGCUGAAAAAUGGACUUCUAAGGAACAAAUACACUGGAGGUUAUUCUUCAUCACUAAACGCAGCAUCAUGUGGAAAACUGCAAAGUAUAGAAUCCAGGGUCAUUUAGCAGCCAUUUUUUGAAAUGCGCAUAGAAAUGAAGAAUGUUUUUUUCAGUCCUUGUAGACCUUAAAGGAACAUACAUGAUGCCAGCAAAACGCAUCAAGUUAGCUGGUCCCCAACAGGAUCUUCAUAAGAAACCUCUUUUACAGCCAUAUUUGCAGUAGCUGUUGCUGUUGAAGUUUAAGAUAUUUUCCUAUAGCCUAGCACAGUAUUUGAGAUUCUCUGAGGUUUUAUUAUCACUGUACUGCAAAUGGUGCAACAUAUUUGUAAGUGUAUGCCAAAUUCCACAAUUCAAAGGCCUGGUUUUCAGCGCAGCCUUAACCCAAUCCAGUUCACACCUACAGUAAACAGCUGCAUUCACAAAUCAUUUAAACUUUCAAAUAAUCUAAUCUGAAUCCAUUACAAAUUUGCAUAUAUGCCCCUUUGCCUUCAGUUUGCACGUCUAAAACCUGAGACUACAGCCUUAAAAUCCGACCUUUAGUAAGCAAACAGAAGCUGAGGUGACAGAUUGCACUGAAUCUGCUUGGAAAAGAAUACAUUUUAAAAUAACAGAGCUUCUGAAAUAAUAUUUGGAGUUUCAAAAAUCACAUUUUAAAAAGUCAGUAGAAAUAACACCUAUGACUACAUGCUUUUACCCUACUAUGCCAUAAACAAAACAUGCCGUAUGAAUCAAACCCUACUAGCAGCUCCACUGUGGAUACAGAAUGUUCCAAUUCCUCCUCCAAAUGCCUUCAAGCCAUUCCUCAUAUCCACACUCUCCAGUUCCAACAUUUUGUACUUUUACAAGAGAAUUGCCUCCAAGUCAUCUCAGCUACUUUUCCUUGUAACGUUCUAGCCUUGUGUAGGCACAUUCCUCAUGCAUUCUUUUGAUUAAUUAAUGCAAUCUAUAUUUAAAUUUAAAGUAGAUAUGAAUAUUCACAUUUUAAGGGCUUUCACUGGUAAUAAGCACUGUUUAAUCCACUCACAAGAACUGCAGAACUUUUACAUCCUGAGGGGCUGGGCUCUUGCUUUGCAUGUAUUGGAAAGAAAAAAUAGAACAAUAAAUACCGAAAGCAAAGAAUUAUUAGCAGUUGAUCUGUUGUUCCUUUUAAAUUAAUAACCUGAGCUAACCAUUGUAGCAUAGUCAUGAGUUCACCGUUUUAAUUCUAGUGUUUUAGUAACGGUACUGGUAUUAAAACUGAGAUCUUAAAACUGCUAGCUUAUAGGACAAACAACCAUGCAGUUCCCAAGUUUGGCCCAGAGGCUGUUGAGAACUAUGAGCCACUCAACUUUAACCACGUCUCCAACAAGAGAAAUAUACCAGCAGCCUCUGGUAGCCUUAGGCAUUAAAAUUAAGAAACUAUUUUGGAGAAAAUCGCUCCAAGUGUCAUCCACUUAAAAAAAAAAAAUAGACACACAAGACAAGGAACAAAAAAUGCAUACUUUCUCAAAAUGUUAAGAAUUUUUUCGUUUCAGUAUGCGUUCAUUUUAGAAUCACAGAAUAACUUGGGUUGGAAGGGACCUUAAAGAUGACCCAACAUCUCUGAAG
ensembl:lncRNA